GACGAACGCUGGCGGCGUGCCUAAUACAUGCAAGUCGAGCGAACAGACGAGGAGCUUGCUCCUCUGACGUUAGCGGCGGACGGGUGGGUCACAUGUGGAUAACCUACCUCUCAGACUGGGAUACUUUCGGGAAACCGGAGCUUAUACCGGAUAAUAUAUUGCACCGCAUUGUUCAAUAGUGAAAUUCGGUUUUUCUGUCACUAAUAGCUGAAUCAGCGCCGCAUGAGCUAGUUGGUAAGGUAACGGCUUACCAAGGCGACGAGGCGUACCCGACCUGAAAGGGAGGUCGGCCAGACGGGAACAGAGACAGAGUCCAGACACCUGCGGGAGGAAGCAGUAGGGAAUCUUCCGCAAGGGAGGAGUGCCGAACGGAGCAACGCGGCGUGAGGGAUGAAGGUCUACUGAUCGGAAAGCGCUGUUAGUAGGGGGGAACAAAUGUGUAAGUAACUAGGCACGUCUUGACGGUACCGAGUCAGAAAGCCACGGCUAACUACGUG
rnacentral:rRNA from 1 species